CCCCUAGUAACUGCGAGUGAAGCGGGAAAAGCUCAAAUUUUGAAUCUGGCGGUCUUUGUGGCCGUCCGAGUUGUAAUCUAGAGAAGCGUGUUCCGCGCUGGACCGUGUACAAGUCUCCUGGAAGGGAGCGUCAUAGAGGGUGAGAAUCCCGUCUUUGACACGGACUGCCAGUGCUAUGUGAUGCGCUCUCGACGAGUCGAGUUGUUUGUGAAUGCAGCUCAAAAUGGGUGGUAAAUUCCAUCUAAAGCUAAAUACUGGCGAGAGACCGAUAGCGAACAAGUACCGUGAGGGAAAGAUGAAAAGAACUUUGGAAAGAGAGUUAAACAGUACGUGAAAUUGCUGAAAGGGAAACGCUUGAUGUCAGUCGCGUUCGCCAGGGAUCAACCUUGCGUUUAUUGCUCGGUGCAUUUCUUGGUUGGACGGGUCAGCAUCAGUUUCGAUCGAGGUAUAAUGGCGGAGGGAACGUGGCACCUCUAGGGGUGUGUUAUAGACUUUCGUCGUAUGCUUGGGUGGGGACUGAGGAACUCGACACGGAC
rnacentral:rRNA from 1 species